AACACGUGGGUAACCUGCCUGUAAGACUGGGAUAACUCCGGGAAACCGGAGCUAAUACCGGAUAGUUCCUUGAACCGCAUGGUUCAAGGAUGAAAGACGGUUUCGGCUGUCACUUACAGAUGGACCCGCGGCGCAUUAGCUAGUUGGUGGGGUAAUGGCUCACCAAGGCGACGAUGCGUAGCCGACCUGAGAGGGUGAUCGGCCACACUGGGACUGAGACACGGCCCAGACUCCUACGGGAGGCAGCAGUAGGGAAUCUUCCGCAAUGGACGAAAGUCUGACGGAGCAACGCCGCGUGAGUGAUGAAGGUUUUCGGAUCGUAAAGCUCUGUUGUUAGGGAAGAACAAGUGCGAGAGUAACUGCUCGCACCUUGACGGUACCUAACCAGAAAGCCACGGCUAACUACGUGCCAGCAGCCGCGGUAAUACGUAGGUGGCAAGCGUUGUCCGGAAUUAUUGGGCGUAAAGGGCUCGCAGGCGGUUUCUUAAGUCUGAUGUGAAAGCCCCCGGCUCAACCGGGGAGGGUCAUUGGAAACUGGGAAACUUGAGUGCAGAAGAGGAGAGUGGAAUUCCACGUGUAGCGGUGAAAUGCGUAGAGAUGUGGAGGAACACCAGUGGCGAAGGCGACUCUCUGGUCUGUAACUGACGCUGAGGAGCGAAAGCGUGGGGAGCGAACAGGAUUAGAUACCCUGGUAGUCCACGCCGUAAACGAUGAGUGCUAAGUGUUAGGGGGUUUCCGCCCCUUAGUGCUGCAGCUAACGCAUUAAGCACUCCGCCUGGGGAGUACGGUCGCAAGACUGAAACUCAAAGGAAUUGACGGGGGCCCGCACAAGCGGUGGAGCAUGUGGUUUAAUUCGAAGCAACGCGAAGAACCUUACCAGGUCUUGACAUCCUCUGACAACCCUAGAGAUAGGGCUUUCCCUUCGGGGACAGAGUGACAGGUGGUGCAUGGUUGUCGUCAGCUCGUGUCGUGAGAUGUUGGGUUAAGUCCCGCAACGAGCGCAACCCUUGAUCUUAGUUGCCAGCAUUUAGUUGGGCACUCUAAGGUGACUGCCGGUGACAAACCGGAGGAAGGUGGGGAUGACGUCAAAUCAUCAUGCCCCUUAUGACCUGGGCUACACACGUGCUACAAUGGACAGAACAAAGGGCUGCGAGACCGCAAGGUUUAGCCAAUCCCAUAAAUCUGUUUUCAGUUCGGAUCGCAGUCUGCAACUCGACUGCGUGAAGCUGGAAUCGCUAGUAAUCGCGGAUCAG
rnacentral:rRNA from 1 species